AAAGUUUGAUCUCUGGGAUUUGUGCUUGAUGGUGGUACGUGGUUCCCUGAAAGCCUACGACGUCUUUAUGCGGGAAGCUGGUGGUCGGGUGCACAGAUAACUCUACGGUGUGGACACGCAUGUGUUGAAAUUGUGCAGCAGACCUUAACCGACUUGAAGCUUACCUGUUUAACUGGCACUGAGUUGUCCAGGGGCAGACAACCGUUGUCUGAGGAAGUCGCUUGCGGAUGCUCCCCGUUGGAGAUUGCUAUGAGUUGCCCCUCUUGUCCCAGCUACCGACUGUUGCCUAUCAGCCUCCCGACUGUAUAACUGGACAGUGUUCUCUUAGUGUUGCAAUGCUUGCUUUUCUGGGGCAUUUCUGCCCAAUUUGUAUCUUCAUUUUGGGUAUAAUAAAUACUUUCUAGCAAAAUGCCUCGUCAUCUUAUUAGUGACCUGCAUGAAUGGAUGAACGAGAUUCCUACUGUCCAUAUCUACUAUCUUGCGAAACCACAGCCAGGAGAACGGGCUUGGCUGAAUCACCGGAGAAAGAAGACUCUGUUAAGCUUGACUUAAGUCCAACUCUGUGAAGAGACAUGGUGGGUGUAUUAAUGAGUGGGAGGCGGGAAUCGCCCUUCGGGGUCUCUCGUUCGACAAUGAAAGACCACUCCCAUCAUUGU
rnacentral:ncRNA from 1 species